UACAGAGGGGGCAAGCGUUAUUCGGAAUUAUUGGGCGUAAAGGGCGCGUAGGCGGCGAUUCAAGUGGCGGGUGAAAUCCCUCGGCUUAACCGAGGAACUGCCUGCCAGACUGGAUUGCUUGAGUCCGGGAGAGGUGAGUGGAAUUCCCAGUGUAGCGGUGAAAUGCGUAGAUAUUGGGAGGAACACCAGUGGCGAAGGCGGGUUGCUGGGCUGACACUGACGCUGAGGCGCGAAAGCUAGGGGAGCGAACGGG
rnacentral:rRNA from 1 species